UACGAAGGGGCUAGCGUUGUUCGGAAUCACUGGGCGUAAAGCGUACGUAGGCGGAUCGUUAAGUCAGGGGUGAAAGCCUGGAGCUCAACUCCAGAACUGCCUUUGAUACUGGCGAUCUUGAGACCGGGAGAGGUGAGUGGAACUGCUAGUGUAGAGGUGAAAUUCGUAGAUAUUAGCAAGAACACCAGUGGCGAAGGCGGCUCACUGGCCCGGUACUGACGCUGAGGUACGAAAGCGUGGGGAGCAAACAGG
rnacentral:rRNA from 1 species